UAGAGUUUUGAAUCCUGGCUCAGGACGAACGCUGGCGGCGUGCCUAAUACAUGCAAGUCGAGCGGAGUUAUUCCUUCGGGGAUAACUUAGCGGCGGACGGGUGAGUAACACGUAGGCAACCUGCCUGUAAGAUCGGGAUAACUACCGGAAACGGUAGCUAAGACCGGAUAAUCAGCUUGGUCGCAUGACUGGGCUGGGAAAAGCGGAGCAAUCUGCUACUUACAGAUGGGCCUGCGGCGCAUUAGCUAGUUGGUGAGGUAACGGCUCACCAAGGCGACGAUGCGUAGCCGACCUGAGAGGGUGAACGGCCACACUGGGACUGAGACACGGCCCAGACUCCUACGGGAGGCAGCAGUAGGGAAUCUUCCGCAAUGGACGCAAGUCUGACGGAGCAACGCCGCGUGAGUGAUGAAGGUUUUCGGAUCGUAAAGCUCUGUUGCCAGGGAAGAACGCUUGGGAGAGUAACUGCUCUCAAGGGAC
rnacentral:rRNA from 1 species